AUGCAGAUACACUACCCUUCCCUAUUACUCUCAGCCCCUAACAAGAGAGAAGCUCAUCCUGGGAGCUGUGAUAAAAUUGAGGCCCAGAUCCAAGAUUUCUUCAAUGGAAAAGAACUGAAUAAGAGCAUCAACCCUGACGAGGCUGUUCCUUAUGAUACAGCUGUCCAAGCAGCUAUCCUUUCUGGAGACAAAUCUGAAAAUGUUCAAGAUUUGCUGCUGUUGGAUGUCACUCCACUUUCUCUUGGCAUUGAAACUGCUGGAGGAGUCAUGACUGUUCUCAUCAAGUGUAAUACUACCAUUCCUACCAAACAGACACAGACCUUCACUACCUACUCGGACAACCAGCCUGGUGUGCUUAUUCAGGUGUAUGAAGGUGAGCGUGCCAUGACCAAGGACAACAACCUACUUGGAAAGUUUGAACUCACAGGCAUACCUCCUGCUCCUCGUGGUGUCCCUCAGAUUGAGGUCACUUUCGAUAUUGAUGCUAAUGGUAUCCUCAAUGUCUCUGCCAUGGAUAAGAGCACAGGAAAAGAGAACAAGAUUACCAUCACUAAUGACAAGGGCCGCUUGAGCAAGGAAGAUAUUGAGCGCAUGGUCCAGGAAGCUGAGAAGUACAAAGCUGAAGAUGAGAAACAGCGGGACAAGGUGUCUUCCAAGAACUCGAGUCUUACGCGUUCAACAUGAAAGCAACUGUUGAAGAUGAAAAACUUCAGGGCAAGAUAAAUGAUGAAGACAGAAGAUUCUUGACAAGUGCAAUGAAAUCAUCAACUGGCUUGAUAAGAACCAGACUGCAGAGAAGGAAGAAUUUGAACACCAGCAGAAAGAGUUGGAGAAAGUCUGCAACCCCAUCAUCACCAAGCUGUACCAGAGUGCAGGGGGCAUGCCAGGAGGAAUGCCUGGAGGCUUCCCUGGUGGUGGAGCUCCUCCCUCUGGUGGAGCCUCCUCUGGGCCCACCAUUGAAGAGGUUGACUAAACCAACCUGAGAAUAAAUAGGUUGAGCAUUGUUCCACACACAAUAUUCAAAGGACCCAAAUUUGUAGCAAAUUCCAUGGCAGUUGUAAUGUUGAGCUGCUAUAGCAAAAAAACUGGGCAUUCUUGAUACUUGAAUAUGGAAUAUGUGCACAGGGAAAGGAAAUAAACAUUGCACUUUAUAAGCACUGUAUUGUUAAGUGGAAAAUGCAAUGUCUUAAAUAAAACUGUAUAUAAAAUUGGCACCAA